rnacentral:rRNA from 1 species
UACGUAGGGAGCGAGCGUUGUCCGGAAUCAUUGGGCGUAAAGAGCAUGUAGGUGGAUCAAUUAGUCUGCUGUGAAAGUCAAAGGCUCAACCUUUGAAAGCCGGUGGAUACUGUUGAUCUAGAGUACGGAAGAGGCGAGUGGAAUUCCUGGUGUAGCGGUGGAAUGCGCAGAUAUCAGGAGGAACACCCAAUAGCGAAGGCAGCUCGCUGGGACGUUACUGACACUGAGAUGCGAAAGCGUGGGGAGCAAACAGG